CCCUUAGAUGUUCUGGGCCGCACGCGCGCUACACUGAUGCAUUCAACGAGUUUUUCCUGGUCCGAGAGGAAUGGGUAACCUUUUGAAAGUGCAUCGUGCUAGGGAUAGACUAUUGCAAUUAUUGGUCUUCAACGAGGAAUUCCUAGUAGACGUAGUUCAUCAGACUGCAUCGAUUACGUCCCUGCCCUUUGUACACACCGCCCGUCGCUCCUACCGAUUGAAUGUUCCGGUGAGCUCUUCGGACUGCGCGGUCUGCAGUUUCUGCGUUCCGUGCGGAAAGUUGUGCAAACCUUAACAUUUAGAGGAAGGAGAAGUCGUAACA
rnacentral:rRNA from 1 species